rnacentral:tRNA from 1 species
CAGAAUGAAGCUUUACAGUAAAGCAUCUCAUUUACAUUGAGAAGAAUUUCGUGCGAUUCGAAUUAUUCUGA